rnacentral:lncRNA from 1 species
AACCACAAGCAGCUUCAGACAGGAACCAAUGAGGCCAUCAAAACCCUCAACAGAGGCAUCUGUGAGUUCAUUGUGGUGGCUGCAGACACCACGCUGCAAGAGAGCAUUCUGCACUCCCACUGCUGUGUGAAGAGAAGAAUGUGCUGGGCCUGCCUGGAAUGUUUGCGCACUCCAGGCGGGCCCUGGGGCGGGCCUGUGGGGUCUCCAGUCCUGUCAUCACCUGUUCUGUCACCAUCAAAGAAGGCUCACAGCUGAUCCAGUCCAUUCAGCAGUCCGUUGAAAGGCUCCUAGUCUAA